rnacentral:RNase_P_RNA from 1 species
GGCGCAAGCGGCGGCGGGGCAAGGGUGAAAGGGUGGGGUAAGAGCCCACCGCGGACGCAGCAAUGCGGACGGCACGGCAAACCACACCGGGAGCAAGACCGAAUAGGGAUGGCGCGGCGAAAGCCGGGGCGGUUUCCAGUCCCAGUCAUCCGGGUAGGUUGCGUGAGGCAUCCGGCAACGGAUGCCCAAGAAGAAUGGCCGCCACGUUCGCUCCUCCGGGGGCGGGCCAUACAGAACCCGGCUUACAGGCCGGCUGACACU